rnacentral:rRNA from 1 species
GGGWWAARGCUCAUGUCGAGAGGGAAACAGCCCAGAGCAUCGACUAAGGCCCCUAAGCGUACGCUAAGUGGGAAAGGAUGUGGAGUCGCAGAGACAACCAGGAGGUUGGCUUAGAAGCAGCCACCCUUGAAAGAGUGCGUAAUAGCUCACUGGUCUAGUGAUUCCGCGCCGACAAUGUAGCGGGGCUCAAGCGUACCGCCGAAGUCGUGUCAUUGCAGCAAUACUCCCAACGGAGGCUGUGAUGGGUAGGGGAGCGUCGUGUGCCGGGUGAAGCCGCGCCGGAAGGCAGUGGUGGACGGUUCACGAGUGAGAAUGCAGGCAUGAGUAGCGAUACACACGUGAGAAACGUGUGCGCCGAUUGACUAAGGGUUCCUGGGUCAAGCUGAUCUGCCCAGGGUAAGUCGGGACCUAAGGCGAGGCCGACAGGCGUAGUCGAUGGAUAACCGGUUGAUAUUCCGGUACCCGCUGUGAAGCGUCAAACAUCGAACCAGGCGAUGCUAAGUCCGUGAAGCCGCCCCGGAGCCUUCGGGCAAAGGGGAGUGGUGGAGCCGACGGACCAGACCUGUAGUAGGUGAGUGAUGGGGUGACGCAGGAAGGUAGUCCAUCCCGGGCGGUGGUUGUCCCGGGGUAAGGGUGUAGGMCGUGUGRUAGGUAAAUCCGUCWSRCAUUWAGKCUGAGACCUGAUGCCGAGCCGAUUGUGGUGAAGUGGAUGAUCCUAUGCUGUCGAGAAAAGCCUCUAGCGAGUUUCAUGGCGGCCCGUACCCUAAACCGACUCAGGUGGUCAGGUAGAGAAUACCGAGGCGUUCGGGUGAACUAUGGUUAAGGAACUCGGCAAAAUGCCCCCGUAACUUCGGGAGAAGGGGGGCCAUCACCGGUGAUGAGUCUUGCACUCUGAGCUGGGGGUGGCCGCAGAGACCAGCGAGAAGCGACUGUUUACUAAAAACACAGGUCCGUGCGAAGCCGUAAGGCGAUGUAUACGGACUGACGCCUGCCCGGUGCUGGAACGUUAAGGGGACCGGUUAGUCACUCUUCGGGUG